rnacentral:lncRNA from 1 species
UUCUUCUUCUUUCUUUGAUGCACUACUUGAAACCUUAUCUAUUGGAUCAAUACCACUUCUUCUCCCUUUCUUACACCAACUGAAAUACUCUUAAAUCAAUUCCAUCUUAAACUUGGUUUAGCCUCAACACCUAAAACUCCUCUAUCACGACAUCAAAUUGGUCAUAGGCCCCGAUCUCUUUAGCCUAAAUAUCUGCAACACAAUCAUCUAAAACAUCACCUCGAAGUCUUUGUCCGAAAGUACAACUCAAGAGGAACACGAAAGCCUUUAAAGUAGUGGAUUUGAUGAAGUCUUGGUUCAAAGAUUGAAUUGAAGAGGAUUUCAAAUCCAUGGCUAAUGUUGACCUAUGUUCUCAUUUGGUUCAUUGUUCAUUCUAUUCUCUUGUAAAUUGUUCACAUGAAUUUUAUUUUAUUUAUUAUUAUUAUUAUUAUUUGUGUUCUGCAUUAAUUUUCAAUCAUUUAAGCUAAUUAUGGGCUUAAGAUUAUUGAUUGUUGUGGUGUUAAUUUGAAUUUUAAUAUUAUUUGUUCGUAUUUGGUAUAUUAUCAAAAUCUCGUUAUUUUGUUGUGAAAGGAAAGUGCAUUUAGGUAUGAUAUAUACUCAUUACUGGUUAUAGUUAGGGUUAGGGCUCAAUGGGCAUCCAGGAUGGGGCGAGGUGGGGAUGGGGUUAUUAAUCCUUUUGUUAACGAGGAUGGGAGCCAAUCAAUCUACCCCAACACGGGUUUGUGUCGAGAAUGGGAAAUAACUAUGUAAUCAAGGGUGAGAAUGGGAUAGGAAUGACCCGUCACAAACCCGUCCUAUUGUCAUUCCUACCUAUUAGGUUUAAAAAACCACAAGUGGUCUCUCAAUCGCUGAAUUAUAUCAAUAAAGUUAAAUAAAUAUAUAUAUAUAUAUAUAUAUAUAUAUCACAAAAUCAAAGUAAAAAAUUUAUUUUUAAAAACAAUUUAUCCAAACAAAUUUUUUGUUUUUAUUUUUUGAAAAAUGUUUUUAAAAAGUCAUUUUUUGGAAUCAAAAUGACUUUUAUUAGAGAUAAAUUGAAAUCUCACUUAUAAGUAAAAUUUUAUUUACGUGGGAAUCAUUUUUUAUUCUAUUUUCAUUGUCACUUGAAUUAUCCAAACAUAGGAAUAGAUGAGAAAGUGAAUAAGAUGUCCAUUCUCACUCUUCAUUCUUGCGUAUCAAACAUAGCCUUAAUGAACAAACCUAAAGUAAUAAGAAUCUUAAAUUAGGAAUUAAUUUAAGGAUUACGGUAGUGUUUGUUUUUUUGGCUUUUUGCUGAAAAUAAUUUAGUUUUAGAAUUUAGGUUGUUUGCUUUUUUUUUAAUUUUUUCAUGACUUAUUAUAAACUUUUUACUAAAUAGAAAAAACCAAAAUAUGUAACUUUUUCUAAAUAGAAAAAAUAACAUAUUGGUUUUUUUUACUUUUUAAUACUUAAUAGAAAUAAAAUACUACAAAAAAAAAAAAAACAACCUAAUAUUUAACACUAUUAAGCAUUAAGGUUCUAUUUAGAAUUAAAUUAAAAAACAAACACCACCUACCUAUUCAUCCCUUCCAGGUAGUUUCAUUAUUUCAACAUGAAUAUGUGAUAGGUCAAAUGGGUAUUUUAAUCUAUUACUAUUUUAUAUCAUUCAAAUCAAUUAUAGUAUAUGGAUCUUGGAUCAAUUUUGAGGUCCAUCUCACCUUAAAACAUAGUUAUCCCCACCCGGAUCCAUGACAAAAAACCACCCAAAUGAAGAAAAUUUCAUGGACUUGGUGUUAGCACGUUUUGUGGACUUUAGGGCAAUUAUAAUGGGUUGAGGAUUAAUUAACCGUGCAUAUAUGCGUGGACCACACCUAUUCUUUACAAAACAUUUAUAAAGAAAAUGCAUAGAGCGUGGAGCAUGUCAUCUAAAAUGCGCGUGAGCUCGGAUGAGACGAGAGAAAGAACAGAAAAGGAUCAAAGUGAACAACGGCACUGUUUGCCACGUCUGCUUCCCAAACGCUCAUCAUCAGUUCCCGUCCCCAAAAUCUCAUAAACCCUGUCCAUCACAACAACCGCCGCCGCCCAAAACCUCAUAAUCCCAACCCUCCACCACAGCCGCCAUCAUUCCCGGGCGCCACCAUGCAAGCAGCUCUGAUAACCCCUUCUCCUCGCGCCAUUCCCACCGGUUCCAUCACUGCCACGAGAACCACAAUUCCCCCUCAUGUGCGCCUCGUGUCUGUCCGAGCAUCGACCGAGGUAGCCCAAUCGCCGCCACCCGCAGUGAAAGAGACGGCCCACAAGCUCAACAAGUACAGCUCUCAUGUCACCGAGCCCAAGUCCCAGGGCGGCUCACAAGCCAUCCUCUAUGGCGUGGGUCUCUCGGAUGAGGACAUGCACAAGCCUCAAAUCGGUAUAUCAUCGGUUUGGUACGAGGGCAACACCUGCAACAUGCAUUUGUUGAAGCUUUCAGAGGCUGUGAAGGAGGGGGUGAGAGAUGCCGGCAUGGUUGGGUUCAGGUUCAACACUGUUGGUGUCAGCGAUGCCAUCUCAAUGGGCACGAGAGGCAUGUGCUAUAGCUUGCAGUCUAGGGAUUUGAUUGCUGAUAGUAUUGAGACGGUCAUGUCUGCUCAGUGGUAUGAUGGCAACAUUUCUAUUCCCGGUUGUGACAAAAAUGUAAGCCUUUUUUUUGGUUCUUUGCCAUUUCUGUCUUGGGUAUUUGUGAUUGUGACGAAGAAUGUGGAUUUUUGUAUUUCGUCUUCGAAUUUUUCUCCUCUGGAUGUUUAUUAUUGUGACAAAAACGUAAGCUAUUGUGCUGUGUUUUUUGUUUUUUCUCAACUGGGUAUCCAUGAUUAUGACAAGAAUUUGCAAUGCUGUGUUUAUUUUUGCCUUAUCUUUAUUGGGUUUUUAUGAAUGAUAUCCCCUUUGUUGAAUUAUGGUUUUUUUGAUAAAAAUUGUAUGUUCUUGGUCUCUGUUUUUUUGCUUCUUCUGGUUAUUUAUGGGGUUGUGACAAAAGUGCCAGGUAUUUUUUCUGCUUUUGCCUUUCCUCAACUGUGUCCUGUGGUUAUGCCAAAAAUGUGACCUUUUGUUCUAUGCUUUUUUGCUUUUCCCUUUUACUCAGUGAACUUCUGUUUAAAAUGUGAGCUCAUGUGUUGUAUUUUAUUUUUUUUGCACAUCUAAGUUUUUAUGAUUUUGAUUUUAUGAUUAUGGUUCAGUUGAAUGGGUCACUUUUUGUUUAUUCUUUCCUUUUGGGUGGGCCGUUCUAAUCAUGCCACUGUUAUAAGACAUUGGUGAUUCUUCUGAUUGCUGGAAAAUAUGUGCUUUUCAUGUUUUAUUCUAUCACUGGUGAUUUGAGAUUAUUCAGUUUGUAGCCUUUUUAUGAGUGCUGAUUAUCUUAGAACAUAUGCUGGCUGAAACUUGAUAUCUUGGUUUCAAAUGCUACUUUGUCUCUCUACUUGGGUUGAAAAAUGAUGGUAGCUUUUCUGGCUUGGAAACAUAAUUAAUCAUAUUUAAAAGCUUGGAUGUUGAAAUCCUAUUUGAUGUAUUUAUGUUGGUGAGGAGGCAGUUUAUAGGAUUUUGUACUUAUACUAAAUUCAGAUGCCAGAGUUGGUUGAUAUUCUAAGACUAUCUCGUUGAAGAGCUCCAUUUCUCCUCUUCACUAAUUUUGGGGUAAAACAUUCAUGCAAUUAUCAGUGGUUUGAAAUGGUUGAGGUCUCCGGUGAUUCAUUUUAUUGAUCAAGGCUAUUGCUUAAAAUUUGAUCUUUAUGGGAGUUUGCAUGAUUUUCUAAAGAGUCUUUGCAGUACCAAGACUUUCAAAUUUUUGUGUGUAUGUGUGUGUUUAAAAGUUGUGCUUUACUUAUUGCCUCUCUUUCAUCUCCUUAACAUCAAAUAAUUAGGCCUGCCUUCUUUUAUAUCUGUGCCUUAACAAAUCAUAUUGCAACUAAUGUUUCCCUCCCUUCACCUAUCAAAAAGAAAAGGAAAUCUCCCUCCCUUCGCCUGUCAAGGGGAAAGGAAAAAAGAGGACUAAUGUCUCCCUCCCUUCCUCUCUCUUUCUUUCAUUUUCUUUGUUUUUUCCUUUUAUUUUUGGUAAAAUAGGUGGUGACAUUCAAAAUCAUUUUAAUCUGAUGCUAGUAAUUUUUGCAGAUGCCAGGUACAAUAAUGGCAAUGGGACGGCUCAAUCGACCUAGUAUUAUGGUUUAUGGUGGAGCUAUCAAGGUUAGAUAUCCUUGGUUAUUGAAAGUUCUUUAUAUAAGUGGAAGUCUUAUAUUGCAUUUCUAAGUGCUAUGUUUAACUUGCAAAACUUUGUCAUUAGUUUAAUUUCUUAUAAAUUGAUAGAACAGACUGCGGUUAAUUUUUCACAUUAGGAGACUUUCCUUUUCCAAAAGAAAUAUCAUUCUGAGAUAAAAGCUUUGUGUAUGGGGCAGUGAUUUCUCAACUCUAUUUGUUUAUUUAUUGUAUUUAUUUAACUUAAUAUUGAUGACAAAAGGGUUAGGUCAAGGAAGAUAUGGCUUAAGCUUGUAAUUCCUUUCCCUCCUUUCUUUGGCAUGGAUUCUUCUCCAAAAUAUGAUCAAAUUGAUAAUUUAUUGUUACAAAGUGACUUGUUAUAGAUUAAGAACUAUUAUUAUUGUUGACUUGUUAUAGAUUAAGAAUUAUUAUUAUUAUUAACUUGUUAUAGAUUAAGAAUUAUUAUUAGUAUUAUUAUUAUUGUUAUUGUUAUUGUUAUUAGUAUUAUUAUUUUAAGUUUUCUAUAGUUUUUUUUUUUUAACCUACAAAAUAUGGAGGUUAAGAAACAAACUGCAUAUACUAGUUAAAGGUAUAGGACAUUCCUGCCGUUUUGAAAUACAGCAAAUUGAAUAUCUAAGUAAUUAACAGAGCAUUCUUUAUGCAGCUUGCUAUUAAAAUCAUUAUGUGUAAUCUCUGUUUUGCUUCAUAUUUUGUAGAAUUGUGGAAAUAAGGAAUAAAUUUGAUAGAUCUAGAAGUAGAAAAAGUUGUAGUGCAUUUAGGUUCUCUAGCUUACUGGUUGAGUUUAUGAUUGUUAUUAGUUUGUUGAAAGGAUGGAGUCCUGUGGUGACUUCUUGAACAUCAUAUGAAACUUUGAAGUCAAAAUGAUUAUGAGAUUUUGUGGUCAACAUGUAUUUAUCAUAGUUGUGGACAACUCAUUGAAACUUAUCAAUUAUGGGGUAUUCUAAAUUAUUUGAAGAAAUUCCAAAAAUUGAAGUUAGGGAAAUGUUAGUGCACAUCAAAGAGAAUGGAUAAUAGUCUAACUUGCAUUCUAGAAUUAGUUUGAAAAUAAUUUAUGAACAAUUGAUAAAAUCAGAGUGAUUUAUUAUAUACCUUGGGACUUCUUGAGUCAUAGGGAUAAGUUCUAGUUUUCUUUGCUUGGUAAUAGGUUGAAAACAAUUUGGAGUUUUAGGAAUAAUUUAUCAUUUUCUUAUUGAAAAACAAGGAUUGGGUGGCAUGCUUUGUGAUAUUCAUAGUGUCAAAAAGCAUGUUUGUUACCUCCAGGUGUGUGAUACUUUUUUUUAUAACCCAAAACAGGAUUUCCUUAAUGACCCCACCAAGGGCUUGUAAAUCAUUAGGUAUUAGAAUACCCACUGCAGCAUUUUCAAUGCCAACACUCCUCCAUAACUUUAUGAGAUCCACUUCUAACAAAGCCCAAAAAGCCUGAAUAAACCCUAAAGAGAAACCAUCGUAUUUAUUAUUUUAUUAUUAGUAAGAUCCCCCAGAGAAGAGGAUUAUGUCCGAACCGAUUUCCAACUCUAUCGCAUACUACUAUUUAAAAAGGCCGACAAGGAGGAAGCGGGGAUGGCACAAGUGAAUCCGAUGUGGGACUUAUGCCUUUCUUUUCGGAUCAAAGAGAAGAGAAAAUGGCAAGUGCUAUCGAAUUCGAAGCUGUUAGCAUGUUAGCGCAUUUUCCUCCCAUUUUUCCAAUAAAUGGUUCAAAUCAUUUUAUCGACAUGAGUGUCAACUAACUCAGGAACUACGGGAAGACCCGUUCCUACGGAGGGCUGUCUGGUAGGUACCAAAUGUGUACCACCUGUAGGUAAAACUGCGACGCCGGCCCCUUUCGACGUUGCACAAAAGCCAUUACUUUACGUUCAGCUAGCACUAAAAAGGCUACUCCUAGUAGAAGUGGUAGAAUUAUUCCAAGUAUUUCAGCUGGAACAGCAACUGCUAUUGACAUUUUCGAUUUUCUAUUCACUCAUGAUCUGGCCUGGUCGACCCGAUCAUGAUAUUUCAGUUUCAAUCCCAUGCAAUUUUUUAUUUUUUCAUGCUUGGAUAGAUUGGGGUACCAAUCCAAGAUAAGGUGAAGGAGGAUCUUUUUUAAGAUAGUUCAACUCUUGGGGGAGAAUCUCAUCAUUGAAGGGGGGACCCAAUGAUAGUUAUUUCUUGGGCUGACUUUAAGAGUGGAGGCAGAGGUGCAUGUGGUGAUAAUCUGAUGAGGUAGAUUCCAUUGAGAAACUUCUAUUGAUGUGUACUUGAGAUGAAGACCUAGAUUAGCUAAUCAGGAGGUUAAUUGGUUUUCUUGAGUGGGGUUAUUUCCUUGACUAAGUAUAGGGAAUUUACUUCUUCUAUAAGAGUGUACUGGAUUGGGUUGUAUGAUAUUAUUUUUUCUUCUUUGUUUCUCUCUCUCUCUAAUUAUAAAAGAAGAUCUGCAAGUUAAUUUAACAUAAGCUUUAUAUAUUAAUUUGAAAUUGAGAGAAUGUUUUUGAGCUAUUAGUUUUUAAAAGUAUGCUAAUACAUAAAUAUUAACUUUAUGAGAAUUAGCUUCUUUGCUUGGGAAGCAACUUGGGCCAAGAUUUUGACUCUAAAUCAACUCAAAAAGAGGGGUUGGAGGAUUCCUAAUAGAUGUUACUUGUGUAAGGAAGAAGAAGAAACUAGUGACCAUAUUCUCAUCUAUUGUUCGAAAGCUCGUUUGUUGAGGCAAUUGAUCUUUGCACUUUUUGGCAUUCAAUGGUUGUUGAGUUGUUCAGUUAGAGAGGUCCUUCUGAGUUGGGUCCUUUGUGGGUAAAAAGAGGAAGAAGGCUUGGAAAGCUGCUUUGUUGUGUAUGUUUUGGGCUUUAUGGCGGGAGAGAAAUAGGAGGGCUUUUGACAACUUUGAAAGCAUGAAUCAAACAAUUAAAAAUUCUUUUUUGUAUCUAUUUUGGGAUUGGGUUAGAUUGUACAUUAAGGGUGGAUCUUUAUCAUUGUUAGACUUUGUGGAUUGGGUAAGCUCACAAUAGGGUGCGGUAGCAAGUUUUUGUGUUUUCGCGCCUUUUUGUCCUUUUUUCUUCGUAUAUGACUUGUAUACUUUCUUUCUUUUAACAAUUCUUAUUUACCUAUCAAAAAUAAUAAUAAUAAUAAUAAUAAUUAACUUUAUAUUAUUGGAUUUUUUUUUUAUUUUCCUAAAAUUUUCUUUUAUAGAAAUUAGAACGAGUAUUCUAAUAAAUAAAUAUUAACUUUAGAUUGUUGGAAAAAAAAAUUUCCUAAAUUUCUUUUCUAUAUAAAUUAGUACAUUUUUGAAUAUUUCAUUUUUAACAAAAGAUAACAAAUUAAAUAUGUUUUAUAGAAAAGAUCAAUUAAAUUGUGUGCAUAUAAAAAUUAGACAAUAACAAAUAACUUCAUGGUAUACCAAGGAUGAAAAUAUUAGAAACUGACGAAAUAUUGGUGACUAGAUUUUACGGAAAUAUUAGAUGCAAAUAUUGAUAAGACAAAAAUUGAUUAAAACUUAUGGAGAUUAGAAAAACUUUAAGAAAUGAUAAAACAAGUAAUAAUAUAUUUCAAAAGAUUGGGAGAGAGUUUUUGUAAAAGAUUGUUGAUAGGGUAAAGGCAAUAUAUUUCAAAAGUGGAAGGCUCUUGUUGAUUUGAAGCACCUUAUCUAUUUUGUUGUCUACCAUAUAUACUUGUUUUCAAUUCCUAUGAAGGUCAGGUUGAGGCUCAAAAAGAUUCAAAGAGAUUUCCUAUGGAAAGUGAGACAUUGGAGAAAAGGCCACAUUUCAUGAAAUGUACAGUCUUUUGCAUGGAUAAGAACAUGGGGGAACUAGGCAUUAUAAGCUAUUGAUCACUUAAUCAAGCUCUCCUUGUGAGGUGAGAAAUGGGUAUGAGACUAGAUUAUAGAAAACUAUUAGGAAAGGGUGAGACCUCUUUAAUUGUAGGGCACUCUUUGCAGUGGGUAAUGGAAGGAGAGUGAAGUUUUGGAAGGAUAAAUGGAGUGGAAUCCUUUUGUGUAUACUUUUCUUCUUUGUAUGUUUGAGCCUUGUCUAAGGAGGCUUGGGUGGUGGAUUUAUCAAAUAGAUAGGUGCAGGAUGUUUUUGGGAUCUGCAUUUCUUUAAACACUUAAACAAUCGAGAGUUGGGUAUUUUUGAGACUUUUUUCUCAAGAUUGCAAGCUGAGUUGGUGAAGAAGGAUGAAAAUGAUAUGGUCUUUUGGAUGGAUUUGAAGAACACAGUUUUUUCUGUCACAUAUCUCUAUUUUGUUUUGGAGCUAGGGAUAUCAAUUUCCUUCCCAACAGGCAUAAUUUCAAAUUCAUGGGUCCAUUCAAAGCAAGUUUUUUAUCUUUCUUUUUUUUUUUUUUUUUUUUGCUUGGGAAGCCAAUUGUGAAAAGUAUUGAUGUUGAAUAAACUUCAGAGGGAAGGGUGGCCAGUGGUGAAUAGUUGUUUUCUUUGUAGAGACGAGGAGUCAAUUGAUUACAAUCUCUUUUAUUGUGCCAAAUCAAAGGUUUUCUACUGGUUGUUAUUCUCCUUGUUUAGUGUAGUUUAAGUGUUCCUUUUCACUCUCAAAGUAAGUCUUUUAAGUUGUCAUGGUUCUUUUGUGGUGAGAAAAAGUAAGAAGACACAAACAGCUGCUAUUCUAUGCAUUUUUUAAUGAUUUGGAAGGAAAGAAAGAAUAGCAUUUGAAAAUGAGGAGUCUGAUUAAAAGCUGAAAUGUUCAUUCCAAGUAACCUUUUAGCAGGGGUUACAUUGUACAUAAAAAAGGCUCAAUGCCUUUGGCUAAUGGUGUAGAUUGGUUGGGCUUGUGCUGAGGUAGAGAGUUCUUUGUGUUCUCUCUUUCUUGGCAUUGCUGUUUGAUGCCUGUUGUUGUUUUUUUUUUUUUUUUUUUUGAUCAGAAAUGAAGAAAAGUAUAUUAAUAGAGGAAAAGACAUAGGAGAGAAAGAAGAGAUACAAGAGAAAGAGAAGAAACCAAGAGAAGGAUGAGAGGUCCUUCCCACAAAACAAAAACUGAACAAAAGAGAAAACACCCAACUAAAGAAAACUAAAAACACCGAAAAAACCCAACACUCUCAAACUUUUGAAGCGCAAACUGCAAUCCAGUUGAAUUGUAAAGCACUUAGAGGAACUCCUCUAAAAGCUGCAAUACAAGAGGCCCAAAGAGAGGAAAAGAACAUAAUCAAGUCCCAUAACAUCUCUUCCGUUCUCCCCUUAUACUCAAAGAUCCUAUUGUUUCUCUCUUGCCAAACCAUCCAUAACAAAGUAAGGCAAGCCAUUUGCCAAAGUGUCUUGCCUCUUAAUGAGUUCCCCAAGCCUUUAAAAGCAAUAACCAACAUGUCCUCAAUACUCCUUGGAGGAACCCAAGCCAACCCUGCUAGAUUGAACAACUUGUGCCAAAGUCCAAUGGUAACAGGGCAAUGAAGAAAAAGGUGGUCUAUUGAUUCUCCAUUUCCUUUGUAUACUUUGGCAUAUUGCUCUUUGGCCAUAUCUAUAAAUUUUAUUACCUAUCAAAGAAAAAGGAAAAAAGCUGACUUUUUUUGGGGAAUCAUUUAACACUGAUUUUGUUCUGAAUUUGCUAUUGCUUUUUUACAUGUGGUUACUAGUUGUCAAUAACCACUCUAAGAUAUCCUAAAAGGCUUACAAUAGUAUUUCCUUUAUGUGCAUGUUCUCGAUAAAAUUAAUGAACCUGUCCUAUGUGAUUGCCCAGAAAGUGUAGAAAAUUUGGGUAAUUACUUGAAGAAAUAAGUUGAAGGUAGUGGAGAGCUGGAGAGAAUUGUUAUAGCUUGUAGAGGAAUAGGGAUAUAGGGAGAGAAAAAUACUUAGUUUAUCUAGAUUUCAAUGGUCUAGAAUGCUGUAGAAGCCUAUUUUUCAUAGGUGAGAUAGGGCUGACUGUUGUGAACUUACUAAAUCCUGAUUGUUGGGCUUUUAUGAUCUAGUGGUGAAACCCAACAAGGUCUUAAGCUUAGUAUGUUUGAGCUUUUAUAAUCUAUCAUUAGAAAUUGAAAUUUGACUUAAUAGCUUGAUAGUUAAUAUAUUUAAAAUUUAUAAAAAAAACUCUCAUUCUAUUCCACGAUAUGGAGUUUAAAACCUUCAAAGAAAUUUGGAAAGUAGGGAUUUCAAUUUCAAAUUGAUAAAUAAAUACAUACAAAUAGAUAAAAAAAAAAAAAGGAGUUGUUAUUAUUAUUAUUAUUAUCAGCACUAAUACUACUACUAUUCACUAUUAACUAUGAAGUUUUGAGUCUGGUGGGGGCCAUUUCAAAUUUGAGGUUUUAAGUCAAAUAGUUCCCAUUUCAAAAUUUCUCUUCAAAAGCUUUAAAACUUAAGUAUACCACAUUAAAAAGAUAAAAGACUUUGGAGAGGUAUUAAAUAAUUCUACUGUUGACUUGAUGUCAGGUUUUUGUUGCUAACUGUUGGACAAUAAAAGUUUGAACAUUACAAGCAUAACUAUGGAACUUGUUAAGUUAGAUCUUAAUUUGAUUGUGUUGGGUCAUAAAAAACUCAACUAUUACUAGCAGUUUGAGCCUUAAAGAGCCCAUAAUGGCUAGUUCAGAUUCACCUGUAAAAAUGGGUUUUGCAACAUUCUAUGCCGCCUAAAAAUUCAAUAAACCAGGUUUAUUCUCUCCCAAAACUUCUAUUCUUGUUUUCUUCCUUUCAGUUGUUCAGUUUAUUUUUCCCUAGUCUGAUCUGUAAUAUUUUGGGCAAUUAGAUCCAAUAUUGGUUUAAUCUGUUUUCUAGUGUAUGCGCAUGCGGAGGAGGGUGCUACUUUAUGCUUAUUGAAGUUGAUCUUGGAGUAGUUAUGGUCUAUUGCUAUCCAUAGGUAGGUAGGGAAGCAUUAGUAAGUUAGGAUAUUGUCGUUGUCACGAGUCUCUCCAAAAGAGAAUUACUUUUCUUUAUUAACAUAUAUAUAUCUCAAUUUAUGAGUAGUUAAUUUUAUCUUUCCUACCAUAUAUGUCCAAACAAUUUAAUUUGAUAUAUCUUAUCCCUGAAAUCAAAUAUCAAUUUUUAUUUUUGAUAGACAAAAGCUUGUAUUAAGAGACACCAAAAAAAGGGGGCACACCCAAUGUAUAUAGAUAGGAAAUCAAAUAUCAAAAUAAUGAUGCAAAUAAUCAUUUCCCUAAAUAAUUGUACUUCAGAAAAUGAUUUUGCUUCCAAUUUUUUUUUUUUCACUUCCAAAUUGCUUUCUAAAACUCAUACUAAAUUAAUUAUUAUAUGCUAUUAAUAGUUUGAUCAGUCUCAUCAUUAAUUACAACCGAAUUACGUCAAACUGUUCUCAAGUUAAAAUAGGUUAGUUCUGUAAAAUUGUUGAUUCCAAUUAACUUAAUUGCUGAAAAUUGUGAAGCUAGAGGCAGAUUGACAAUUAUAAUUGGGAUCCCAAUCAUACCAUCCUGUGUAGUGUGGCACACCCCUUUUUGUACUAACAAAAAGGGAUGGGCUUGAAGAUGAAUGUGUUGAAAAUGUGGCACACCACUUUAUACUGAGAUAUGAAAUGUUGUAUGAAGUCAUCUUUGAGAAAUGGCAUGAUGUAAGAAAUGAUACUAAUUCCAGUCUUUCUCUAUUAUAAACUGUGUAAUGAACUAAUGAUUGAUUUUUAAUGCUUUCAUAAUUGAAGUUGGAUGCUUUAUUUUUUUGGUUGUUAUCAUUCAUUUACCUUUAUAUUUAUCAACAAAAUAGUGGCAUUUAUAGCUGCCGGUGAUUCAUUCUUUUUAAUUAUUUCAUAUGCAGCCUGGUCAUUUUCAAGGCCAUACUUACGACAUAAUAUCUGCCUUUCAGGUACACAGUGAUUUUCUGUUUUAAGCUUUAAUAUAUGCACAUAUUCUUUUGGCUUCUGACUCCUGGUUUUAGGGUUUGGUUCCUCCUUGUAACUUUUUCUUCUAUUACUUUGCUUCCCUUUUUUGUUCUCCAGAGGUUUUUUUACUUUUUUAUGCUUAUACAGGACUGAUGAAUAAAAUAACUUCCUUCUAUCAUCAAAUAGAUAUUUUGCUAUGCCUUGCUUUCUGAUUCUUGGGGUAUUUGGGACCAUAAAUGUAGUUAUAGGAAGGCUAAUUGAUUUACCAACUUCAGCACUUCAGGGACUAAUUAUUUUUUGGAGGUUAGGCCUUAACUUUGAUAGUUCUUAUUUUACUACUGAUUUUUUUUUUUUCUUUUGGAUAGGCAGAAAGAGAAUAUAUAUAUAUAUAUAUAUAUAUAUGUAUGUAUAGAUAGAUAGAUAGAUAGAUAGAUAGAUAGAUAGAUAGAUAGAUAGAUAGAUUUCCUAUCAAAAAAAUGUAUAGAUAGAAGAUAGAUAGAUAGAUAAAGCAUCUAAACAAAGUGUGUAAUGAAGUACAAAAAAACGUAAAAACAUGGACUAAGGUUUGAAUGUCUUGUUGUUCUGGUAAUGGGUGCUGCUUAUGCAUACUGAAAAGUCUGCAGUUCGUGGAAAUAACUGGUGAGAGAGUGAGAGCUUGGAGAGAAGCUAGUGGCCCCAGGGGAGGAAGAAGCUGUUUUGUGGUGGAGUCCAAAUCUUUCGAGAUUCUGGUUGAGGAGUUGGGAGGAAAGUUGAAAGGGUGCAUAUGGGAGAGAUGCAAAGGUAUCUCCUCUUGGAUUAGAUUCGGGGAGGCGAGCUUACGGUGCUUACUAGAUGGAGUAGAAACUUGCUGCAGAGAGUCUAAUAAUCGAGGAUGGGCCAUUGGCUGGGAGGAGGGGAACAGGAAGUAUAAGUUGGAGCGUCGGUUGAAUGAGGCAGGGAGAUUCAUCCUCUGCUCAGUGCGCGACUCUGAAUCAAAAAAGUUCAGUUUAAUCUUUCCAGAGGGGAAGGGACAGUCCCUUGGUUGGAAUUUAUUGGCCGUGAGGUUGAGAGAUCUUGGCGUGGCCCCAUCAAGUGUCUUUCUGGCUCCCAAAGGACCAGAGGACUUGACGAGGGAGAAAGGAGGAUCGAAGGUUUAGUGGCGGGAGAAAGGGGUGGAGCUGAAACCCUAUGCAAAUGCUGUUAAGAUAAGUUCGAGAAGGGUAGGAUAGUCUGUCUGGUUAGAGGUGGGGGAAAGAGAGGUGCGAGAAAGGAUUGAUCAGUUGAGACAGUGUUUGGUAGGUUGGUGGGGUCUCAACUCAGCUCCCGUUCCUGAGUUGGAGUAUGUUAGGAGAUGGGCGUCGCAGCAUUGGGCUCUGAAGGGGAAUCUAAGGGUUGCUAUGUUAGGCAGAGGCUUCUUGUUGUUUGAGUUCGAAUCUUCAAGGGAGGCUGAACGUGUUUUAGCUAGAGGUGUAAGAAACAUUAAGGAGAAUGUUAUUGUUUUGAAUAGAUGGAACCCUGAGGUGGGGUGUCUCUGUAAGGAUUCAAGCGCUAAAGAAGUCUAGGUAAGGGUGGUUGGGCUCCCCCUUCAUUUGUGGAGCACGGAGAUUUUUAAAAGAAUAGGGGAUGGGUGUGGAGGAUUUGUAGCUAUAGAUGAUAACUCGUUGUCUUCGUCUGAGAUGCAGUGGGCUCGGAUCCUUGUGAAGUGCGUGGAAAGGGAGUUUCCCAGCUCUGUCCAAAUCAUUGUGGGGUCGGGAUGUUAUUCCUUGCAACUUUGGUGGGAGCUUCCUCCUUGGUUCACGCAGGUGGUGUCGGCGGGAAGUCUCAGCGGGGAGGGUGGCUUAAGGGGUGGAGAAGAAGAUGGUGGAAGUCAAAGGGAGAAGGUGGAGCAGUGGAGAGUACAGUAGGGUAGGCUUGACGUGUCGUCCAUUGGAGGAGUUCCUCCCUCCCCUCCUGUUGUGAUCUCUGAUGCAGGUACUACAGUGGAGGGCAGGGUAGGUUUGGCUGAUGGACGUGUGAAAGGGGACAAGCAGCCUACUUGUAAUACGUUGGAUGGCUCUGUUUUUGGGCCAAAUUCUGGGCCUAACGGAUCUGUCAUUAGGGUGUUUCAGGGCCCUUCCUUUGAAAGAGGGGAGAGCCAGGGCCCUCUUAAUGUUUCUCUAAAGAGUGUGGGCCACAAAUCCAGGCCCAUUAACUCUCUUGAUGAGCUGGGCUGCAGAGAAGGGGAGAAGGGCGCGGGCUUUGGGCUCGAAGGCCUCGUAGCAGUGGCUGGAGAGGCUUUAACUGGGGAAGGACCUUUGGCUUCUUGUCCUAGGGCAAUUUCGACAAGCUUGGAGGUAGAAGCGAUUGGAGUCGCCGACCCCCUUGACCCAGGGGAAGUUCCUUCAGCCUCUCGUCCUAGGGCUCAAGCGAUAAGUUUGGCGAGAGGCGCUUCUGGUGACGUUGACCCUUUUGUCGGCAUGUCAAGAGCUCCGAAGCCGCUGGAAGUCUCUGAGGUGGUAAGAGGGGAGAUGACCGACGAAGCGUUGCGUGUCGAAGCCUCCAGGUAUGUCUACAUUUCUUCGUUUUCUGUGGGGGGUCGGGUGCUCUCUUCUUCUUCUCUUUCUUCUGGGUUUGCACGGGCUGGAGCGAAGGAGGCAGCCUUGUCUGGUUUGAUCUCGGUGACUGAGGGAGAGGAGCGGCUUCCUUUGAGCAUUAUUCUGACAGAUGGCAGCACUGGGGAAAUGGAUACCGAGGGGGAGAAAUCCUUGGGUGGUGAUGGAGGGGGGGNNNNNNNNNNNNNNNNNNNNNNNNNNNNNNNNNNNNNNNNNNNNNNNNNNNNNNNNNNNNNNNNNNNNNNNNNNNNNNNNNNNNNNNNNNNNNNNNNNNNGGGGGGGGGGGGGGGGUGAGGUUGAGGUUUUGUUACAAGAUUUGGAAGAAAAAGGAGGUCGGUGGGACGAUAGUUGUUUGGCGAGAUUCAGUAGGUUCCUGGGUUUUUCGACGGAUGGUAUUGAAGGUGAAAUAUUGAAUCUGCUCCUAAGGACUAAGAGAAGAAGGGAGCAGAACAUCAAGAAAGAGAUUUCAGGAUCCACUAAGUUUGAUCGUGAGUUGAAAAAAUUGGAGUGGUCUGUUAAUUAUAAUGGUGCGAAGAAGAAGAAAUCUUUGGUCAGAGUUGGCGGGGUUAGAACUUCGAUUCUUAGAUGAAGAUAAAGAUACUAUCAUUGAAUGUUAGAGGGGCCAAUGAUAGGGCCAAAAGGAAGGUUAUUAAGGCUUUGAUCAGAUCGCAAAGAGCGGAUUUGGUGUGUUUGCAAGAGACCAAAAUUCAAGAUAUGUCUAAGGAGAUUGUCCACAGUCUUGGAGUGGGAAGAUUUUUAGGCUGGGGUGCUAUGAGUGCUAGGGGGGCUGCUGGUGGGGUUGUAGUGUUUUGGGACAAGAGAGUCUUGGAGUUAGUAGGCAUGGAGGCGGGACUCUUCUCAAUUUCGUGCCGUUUCAAAAACUGCGAGGAUGGCUUCUUGUGGACCUUUAUGGGAGUGUAUGGACCCACCUUGAAACGUAAUAGGGAGCUGUUUUGGGAAGAAUUAGGUGCCAUUCGAGGGUUAUGGUCGGACCCUUGGUGUAUUGGUGGGGAUUUCAAUGUGGUCAAAUUUCCCAGUGAGCGUAGUAGAGAAGGCAGAAUCACUGGAUCCAUGAGAAGAUUUUCGGAGGUGAUUGAGGAGUUGGCCUUGAGAGAUUUGCCUCUCCAUGGGGGGCCGUUCACGUGGACUGGAGGGCUGAAUGGUCUCUCCAGGUCUAGGUUGGAUCGUUUUCUAAUUUCGGAGGAGUGGGAAAUCACUUCAGUGGGGUAUUCCAGUGUUCUCUUCCAAGACCGGUGUCUGAUCACUUUCCCAUUUUGUUAGAUGGGGGAGGAGUGAGGAGAGGUCCAACUCUGUUUCGAUUUGAGAAUAUGUGGUUAAAGGAGGACGGGUUUAAGGAUUUGUUAAAAGGCUGGUGGCAAGGUUUUAAUUAUAGUGGGUCCUAUAGUUUUAUCCUGACAGAAAAAUUAAAGGCUUUAAAAAUUAAGUUGAAGGAGUGGAAUUCGGAAGUUUUCGGCAAAGUUGGAGUGAACAAGAGGCUGGCUUUGGACAAGGUGUCUUAUUGGGAUAAUCAGGAGCAGCUAAGAGUUUUAAAUGACUGGAAGUUAGAAGCGAGAAAGGAGGCUAAGGAGGAUUUCAAGAAAUGGGUGCUUAUGGAGGAGAUUUCGUGGAGACAAAAAUCAAGACAGAUUUGGCUGAAGGAAGGUGACAAGAACACGAGAUUUUUUCACAAGAUGGCAAAUUCCAACAGAAAGAAGAAUUGCCUAAAAAAAAUUAAAGUCAAUGGCACUUGGCUGUCAGAAGAGCAGGAUAUUCAAAGGAGAGUGGUGAGGGCCUUUUAGUUUCUUUUAUCGGAUCCAGGUGGUUGGCGCCCUAGUGUGAACAAUCUUGAGUUUGAUAGCAUUGGGGCAGAGGAGGCAGCUAGGCUGGAGCUAAUGUUCACUGUGGAGGAGGUUUUCCUGGCUCUUUCAGAGUUGAAUGGGGACAAAGCCCCUGGCCCGGAUGGGUUUACCCUAGCUUUUUGGCACUUUUGCUAGGACUUCGUCAAAGACGAGAUUAUGGGAUUUUUCAAAGAUUUCUUUGAGAGGGGAAAGUUUGUCCGAAGUGUGAACACCACCUUCCUUGUCUUAAUCCCAAAAAAGGGAGGGGCUGAAGACUUGACCGAUUUUAGACCCAUCAGCUUGGUGGGAAGCCUCUACAAGUUGCUUGUAAAGGUCUUAGCCAAUAGAUUGAAAAAGGUUGUGGGAAAAGUGGUGUCUACUACCCAAAAUGCAUUUGUUGAAGGUAGGCAGAUUCUUGAUGCAGCGUUAAUAGCCAAUGAGGUCAUAGACUCCUUGCUGAAAAGGAAGGAAAGUGGGGUUCUAUGUAAAUUGGAUUUAGAGAAGGCCUACGAUUGUAUCAAUUGAGAUUUUUUGCUGUCAGUGAUGCAAAAAAUGGGCUUUGGGGAGAAAUGGGCUGGGUGGAUCAAAUGGUGUUUAUCCACUGCGUCGUUUUCUGUUCUGAUCAACGACUCUCCAAUCGGUUUUUUUCGAAGCACUAGGGGGUUAAGGCAAGGGGACCCCCUAUCCCCUUACCUUUUUGUUUUAGGAAUGGAGGCUUUGACUAGCCUCAUUAAUAAGGUAGUGAGAGGGGGUUAUCUUUCAAGCUACAGGAUAAGGGGAAGGGAAGGAGCAGGAAUUCAAGUUUCACACCUGCUGUUCGCUGAUGAUACACUGGUCUUCUGCGAGGAUUCCCAAGAGCAAUUGGCUUUUUUAAGUUGGUUACUCUUGUGGUUUGAAGCCACCUCUGGAUUGCGCAUUAAUAUGAACAAAAGUGAAAUUUUGCUAGUGGGUAGAGUGGAGAACGCUGAAUUACUAGCUGCUGAACUGGGCUGCAAUGUGGGAUCUCUCCCUUCUACCUAUUUGGGGCUCCCUUUGGGUGCUUCGCAUAAGUCGGUGACGGUUUGGGACGGAAUGGAAGAGAGGAUGCGCAAGAGACUUGCCUUAUGGAAGAGGCAAUUCAUUUCCAAGGGUGGAAGAAUCACUCUCAUUCGGAGCACUUUGGCGAGUAUGCCAACCUACCUCAUGUCCUUAAUGCGUAUGCCAAGAGUGGUAAAAUUAAGACUUGAGAAAAUUCAAAGAGAUUUCCUUUGGGGAGGGGGAGUGUUGGAGAAGAAGCCCCACCUAAUAAAAUGGGGUAUUGUUUGUUCUCAUAAAAAGAAGGGUGGGUUGGGGAUUAGAGACCUCACUACUCUCAAUAGGGCCCUUUUGUGCAAAUGGAGUUGGCAGUUUGCGGUUGAAAGGGAUUCCUAUUGGAAGCUUAUAAUUGGCACGAAGUUUGGGGUUGUUAGAGGAGGUUGGAGCACUUGCGGGGGUAGGGAGGGCUUUGGGGUGGGGCUCUGGAAAGAAAUCAGCAAGGAAGGGUUGUUGUUGCUCAACAAUGUUUCUUUUUCAGUGGGGGAUGGUAAAAGGGUGAGGUUUUGGAAAGAUACUUGGUGCGGGAACACUCCUCUUUGUGAGGCCUACCCCUCCUUGUUUGAUUUAGCGGUUUCUAAAGACGCGAGGGUUGCGGACUGUUGGGACUCAAUGGGGGAAGUGGGAGGGUGGAAUCCCCGCUUCCUUAGACCUUUCAAUGAUUGGGAGGUGGAGGAGGUGGAGAGACUCCUUCUGAUCAUUCAAGGAAAGAGGCUGAAUGCUGAUUUGGAGGAUAGGAUGGUGUGGAAUGAGACGAAAGAUGGGAUUUUCUCUGUAAAAUCCUGUUUCAAUUCUCUUGACCACAGCAGUGCAGUCCCGUUUCCAUGGAGAAUUAUUUGGAGUACGUUUGUUCCUACCAAGGUGGGCUUUUUUGCUUGAGAAGCUUCUUGGGGGAAGGUGCUCACUCAAGACCAACUAAAGAGGAGGGGCUAGAAUUUAGCUAACAGGUGCCCCUUGUGUUGUGAUGAAGAAGAGACGAUAAAUCACAUCCUUAUUCACUGUUCUAAGGCGAAGGUUUUGUGGGAUCUCUUGUUCUCCUUAUUUGGUGUUAAUUGGGUCCUCCCAUUUUCGGUUAGAGACACUCUUUUAGGUUGGCAUGCUCCCUUAAAGGAUAAGAAGCAUAGUAAGGUUUGGCGGGCAGCUCCUCUUUGCUCAUUUUGGAUGGUAUGGAAGGAAAGAAAUAGGAUAGUUUUUGAAAAUGAGGUCCUAUCACUUCAAAGAUUGAAAAAUUCCUUCAUUUGUAAUCUCUUAUCUUGGGCUAAUUCUUCCACAGUUGAAGGCCCCCUUUCUUUGUUUAAUUUUGUGGACUGGUUGGGUUCUUGUUGAGGACUGGUAAGGGUUUGUCCUUUUUGUUUCCGGUUUUUGUAGGUGAUACUUGUAUACUCCCUGUAUACUCUGGGUCGCCUUUCAUGCCCCCUUUUUAAUAUAUUUCUGUGCGUUUAUCUAUCAAAAAAAAAAAAAAAGUACAAAAAAACCCUCUGCUCUUACUUUAAGCAUCCAAUCUACAAAGCCUCCUGAUGAGAAAGGACCAUAGGCUGAGGUGGAAAAACCAUCAAAACUUAGAUGAGCUUUCUCAACUAAUGUAAUGAGCAAGUGGCAGUGGAUACUACCUGAUCGACUGCUCCCUUAUGAUUAUCCAGGUGAAAAUGUUGCCAAUGAAGUUUGAAGCAUGUUUCCCUGGUAUAGCAAGUCUUGCCACAAUAUUCUAAGUCAUCUCACUUUUGCCUCAUGAUAGAGAAAUAAAGACCAAAAAACUUAUCGUCUUGAGUAGUCUCAUGAAUUUUUUUUCAUCAAUUGAAAAGAAUUCAUGUGAUAAGAGAUUUAUCAUUAAUGGAGGUUGCAUUAGUUAAAGUAACCAUGAUAUGACAGUCAAGUUCUCAUCGUCUCACCUACCAUAAAUUGUUAGGAAUAGGUUCCUUCACCAUUCAAGUAACCGAUCUUCCCUUUACACCUAACUAACCAAAAGACUGAUUGUUUUGCAAUAAGAAAGUAAUUUUUGUCAAACUUCAUGGUUAUAAUUUGCAAGGUGGAUUUUCAAGAUGUUCACACAAAGCAAAUGAGGAAUCUGAGAUUGUUUGGAACUUAGUAGAGAUUCCAAAAGACUGCAUCACAGUCAGUCUGACUAUAUUGUUGGCUUAUAACCUCAUAACUUAGGGUUUUGGGUCAACUUAGUACCUUAAUUGUUAGAUGAGAUUAUCUAGCAAAAAACAGCUAUCAACAGCCAACAAGCCCCAAGCAGUAGAUUGCACUAUGAAAACCAAAGAAUGACCUUGGCUCGAACCUUGAAGAAGAGUGGAUUCACAACAAAUCGCCAAUGAAUGAAAGCAAUUGGUUUCCUUGUUUGACCAACCAUAUAGUAGGGUCAGUUGCCUAAAUGAGGUGCUCCACUUUUAUGGGCUUAUAUGGGACUUCUUGCCUUGUUGAAUUGCAACUUUUUAUUCCUUUUAAUGUUGUUAGUAGUUUGCUUUCCUUCUUAGUACUGGUUUUGUACUUUUCUUUUUAAGGCUUGUUUUAUCCUUCUUGUACCUUUAAUAUAUUUUUGAUGAUUUUUUUUAUAGGAAAUGAAAAUAUAUUAAAAGCUCCAAAUAAAAUGCACAACCAAGUACACAGGUAGUAUACAAAAUGUUCUAAGAGGCAAAGCAAAAAAAUGUGAAGGAAUCCAAAAACUGUAGCUCUCUCAAGAAAACCCCAACCAAUCGAUAAAACCUAUCAUGUUUAGGGGAACCCCAUCUAUAUAUAUAUUGUAGUCCAUAACAUGAGGUUGCCAAGAAAGGAGGACUUCAUAUAUUUUCAAUGAAUUGUUUUUACUAGAGGUCCAAAUGGCCCAAACUGCACCCCUCUAUGGUGACUAGAAGUAGAAAAAACCUCCGAAAGGACCCAUAUAGAUCAGCCCUACUUUCUCAAAAACAAAGAGCCCCAAAAAAAUGACUUCUACAAACUCUUUCAAAAGAGUUUUCAUUUGAGAUUUUUCCUCCCGGCUCCCUGGUUUUCUUUGAAAAGUAAGCAAAUGAAAGAUUAAAAUCAUUCUAUAUAGGUGCCUAAAGAAUGAGCAUACUUUUUGUUCAUCUUCAUGGAUUCCUAUUUUUUUCUUUAAUACAAAUUAGUUUAGUUUUGUGUAUCAAAAUUUUAUUUGAUCUAUAAAAUUUAUUUUAUGUUUUGUUUUGUUUAAAACAUGUCAUGCAGAACAGUUGCAAAAAUUUAUAUCAAAGUCAAGUUUCAAGCUGUAACAUGUCAGCAAUCUAAUCUUAACUUAAUGCUGCAAAUUAUCCUGGAAAUCUUUUAUCUGUCACCAUUUUUGACUGGUGAAUCUUGAUUAUUUAUUUUAUGUUUUGUUUUGUUUAAAACAUGUCAUGCAUAACAGUUGCAAAAGUUAUAUCGCAGUCAAGUUUCAAGCUGUAACAUGUCAGCAAUCUAAUCUUAACUUAAUGCUGCAAAUUAUCCUGGAAAUCUUUUAUCUGUCACCAUUUUUGACUGGUGAAUCUUGAUUAUUUAUUUUAUGUUUUGUUUUGUUUAAAACAUGUCAUGCAUAACAGUUGCAAAAAUUUAUAUCAAAGUCAAGUUUCAAGCUGUAACAUGUCAGCAAUCUAAUCUUAACUUAAUGCUGCAAAUUAUCUUGGAAAGUUUUUAUCUGUCACCAUUUUUGACCGGUGAAUCUUGAUGGAAAAAUCUAUGAUGGAUGUUUAUGAGAUAUUGAUGUAGCUAUGGUCUGAAGGAGGUGUAUGUGUAGUAUCACUUGUUCCAUGGUGAAACAGAUUUGUUAUUCUUGAAGAGUUUUCAUUGUGCAUUACUGUAUAAGCAGCAUGCUUUUGGUAAACAUUUUGUGGAUCUUGAUUGAUUUGUUUUUGGUAUUGCUGAUUUUAAAAGUAAUUCAAGGCCUUCUUUAUUAAAAUUUUCAGUAUUACCUACUGUGUUGGGAAAUAUUUAUUUAUGUUAAGUAGUAUUUGUUUAAAAAGUUCUAUUUAGAUGUGGCAAACUUGCUAUUUUGAUUUCUUAUUUGACAAGACAUGUAUACCUGCAAUCUGCCAAAUUAAAUUAAUAUUUUGUUUCCUUAUAAUUGUUGUUGUAGGUUUAUGGAGAGUUCGUCAGUGGGUCCAUAACUGAUGAACAGAGGAUGAAUGUUGUCCGAAAUUCAUGCCCAGGAGCAGGAGCUUGUGGUGGAAUGUAUACAGCCAAUACGAUGGCUUCUGCUAUUGAAGUUAUGGGAAUGUCUCUUCCCUUCAGGUAAAAAUGUUCUUUAUUUUCACUUAGACCAUAGUUUUUGGUGCCACUUCUUACUUUUUACCUUUUUAUUGUUUUUAAUUUGUAAAAGCUCUUCAACACCGGCUGAAGACCCAUUGAAGUUGCAUGAGUGCCAUUUGGCUGGAAAAUAUCUUCUGGAUUUGAUAAAAAUGGACUUAAAACCACGAGAUAUUAUCACUAUGAAGUCACUACGGAAUGCUAUGGUUGUUGUCAUGGCAUUGGGUGGAUCUACCAAUGCUGUAUUACAUUUAAUUGCCAUUGCAAGGUAAGAGUGUGGUGAGAAAGUUCCCCUGGGUAUGAUUUGCAUCGCUCAGAAUUGCUCAUGAUAAGAUUCUUGGCAGGUCUGUUGGUCUGCAGUUAACUCUUGAUGAUUUUCAGAAAGUAAGUGAUGAGGUUCCAUUCCUUGCUGAUCUUAAGCCCAGUGGCAAAUACGUCAUGGAGGACAUACACAAGGUUUCAAUGAUUUCUUUUGUUUCCCUUUUUGUUUCUCUUUGUUUUCCUUCUUUCUUAAAUUAAAUAUGUUGUCCCAGCCUGUUUCUGAGUUCUAUAUAACAUCUCGCAUGGCAUUGUUUGAGGCAUGACAAUCUUUUUCUGUUUGCUCAUACAUGACAUGAGAGGUUUAUCAAGCUCAACCUGUCUUCUUGAUGAACUCAUAAAUUGUUCCUAUAAUAAUAGAUUGGAGGAACACCGGCAAUCAUUCGCUUCCUUUUGGAAAAUGGGUUUUUAGAUGGGGAUUGUAUAACAGGUAUGUUGAUUUUAAGAACAAUUUUCACAUUCCUGUUAGUCAAUACCAAAACAAAAUAUUGGAGGCAGGUUAUAUUAUCUCGUGGCAUUACUUUAUUGACAUACUAAUAUUUUCUUUCUAGUUACUGGGAAGACAUUGGCUGAAAAUGCAGAACUUUUUCCUUCUUUGCCCAGAGAUCAGGUGAAAUGCACAUUUCACUGUUUAGAUAUAAAAUGAACAUACGCAUGUUUCUCAUUGUUUACUGUCUUUUUUCUUCUAGCAAAUAAUAAGACCGUUGGCAAACCCCAUAAAGAAGACUGGACACCUCCAAACUUUAUAUGGAAAUCUUGCACCAGAGGGUUCUGUUGCAAAAAUUACUGGAAAAGAAGGGCUAUAUUUCUCUGGUUCUGUUCUAUGUGCUAUUUUGUGUUAUUAUAAUUUCCUGAAUCAUACUGGAAGUUGCUCGACUCCUUGUAGUUUUAUAGCUUAAAAUUUUAUGCACUGUAACAAAGAGAUGAUUGUUCAAAGACUUGUUCACCAGGUCCUGCACUUGUCUUUGAAGGUGAGGAAGCUAUGAUUGCAGCUAUAGCAGAGAAUCCUAUGAGCUUUAAGGUAUGUGUACUGGUCAAUGUGGCGUUUUUAGAACUAAUCGUUUGAAAAAUGGGAGUCUGGCUCCAGAGUUUUAAGGGUCUCCAAGUUAUUAACAUCAACUGCAGAUAAGAAAUCAAAUGAGGACUGGCUUCCUAAUUUGGAAAUGUUUUUAAAUAGAGGCAUGUCCUUGCCUUAGAUCUUGUUCAUUCUUGUAUGUUGCAAUGUCUUAAAAAGCAGCACAGAUUUUGUCUCUGUUAUGGGGUGUCUAUGAUUUUUAGAUUAUUUGGUACAGAAACUAACAGCCCCCUUUAUAUUUCUGGUCUAGAACUCUCAGGAUUGUUUUCUUCUAAACAAGGAGUCAACAAUAAUUGAAGAAUGAUAUAUUCAAUUUAUUAUAAUUAAGAAUUGAUAGCUCAGAAAUGACCUGUUGUUUGCAAAUAUGAGUAGAAGCUUGGAUCAUGGUUUCUUAUAUGUCAAAUGUGUAGCUUAUCCAACUUGAUCUCUUGCAUAAAAAAAGCCUACAAAUAUUUUGUAUUUGGCGUUUAUUAGACAAUUUUGUACUGGGCUUAUUUUUUAGAGGUUUUUAUUUGGUGCAAAAGACUAAACUGUGGCUGUUCUGCGUCAAACUUCUGUAUUUAAAGUCAACUUUACUAAGGUUAAGCCUGACCCUCAAGAUCUCUUCAUUUCAUUUGAUGAUUUUGGUUUAAGGCCACAUUUUCAUUUGUUUCUUUUUUUUUUACGUAUUAAUUUUAAAUUUUCCCUGGAUAUAAUAGAUGCUUUCUCUUGUAGUGCUUAACUAAAAAUGGCUUUGCCAAGCUUCCUUAAACCAAUUUUCCUUGUCACAGAUGUCAUGUCUCACCAACAGAUGUGCUAAUUGCUGCUCAGUUUCAAGUGAUAUUGUUUGAGUGUAUGAUAAUACAUUGUGUGCCUAAAUCCUACAAGCUUAAGUUUUCAAGAAAAUUAAUAAUUUAAUAUGUUAGUCUAGGUCAUGGGUUUGAGUUGCAGGAGCUACAUGUUUCAGGAUGGAUUGUUAUAUAUGCAACAGUGCUGCUCCCGAGGAAAAUGAUAGUUGAAAAAUGACCUUGGGGUGAUUGUGUAAAGGCCAAAGAUGAUUAGGCACUGCUAUAAGCCUCGGGAUGAGUUAAGGCUCUGAGAUGGGUAUGCUGUGUGGGAUGGUCAAGCCCCUCACUGUGAGCCUCUGAAUGGCUAAACCCUAGGAGUGAGACAUUGAACCAUAUAAAAAGGAUUUGCUUGACCUUACUGAUAGCCAAUCGGUUUUCAGAUGAGAUGACUAAGUCCUUGAUCUUGAUAUGUUUUCAAAGGAGAUGGCUAAGUCUUCCUAAUAAGUGGUAUCAAAACUAGGUCAUGGGUUCAAGUUGCAGGAGGUGUACAUGAGGGAUGGUGUUGGAGAGUAUGACAUACAUUAUGCGCUAAAAUCUUACAAGCUUAAGUUUUUAAGAAAAUUGGUUAUCUAACAUGGUAUCAAAGCCUCUUUUGACAGGAGGGCAUGUAUUUGAACCUCACCACAUAUUUAUUUACUCACUUUAUAAAGCCUAAAAGAGUUUAUUUUAUUUCCUCAAUUUACUAAGUACAUGUGUAAGCCCAAAGGAGGCUACAUGUGAGGGAGGGUGCUAGAGUGGAUGAUAUAAAUUGUGAACCCAAAUGAUGUAAGUUUAAGCUUUUAGGAAAAUUAAUGAUUCAAUAGAUAUACAACAAUAAAACGCUUUGAUUCUUUCUGUCAAGUUCUCAUGAUUCCAGUAGUUCAUAGUGCCAUUUCCAUGCACUCACUUGAGGGACUCCAUUUCCAAAAAUCUAAUUUUCUAUAUUCAGAAAGUUCAAGUCCUUUUGCCUAUCUCAGUCCCAGAGAUUUCUCCCUGGAUUAUGCCAUCAUUAAAUUGUAGAUGUUGCUAUGGAUUUCAGUAACUAGGGUUAUUUGUGGACUCAAUGGAAAAGUCAUAUUUUUUCUAUUUUAUGUGUCUCACUGAUAGGAUGGUGUAUAAUUGAUUCAUCAAAAUGGGAUAUCUAAUUUUUUGCUUUUCUGUUAUACUUUCAGGGGAAAGUAGUUAUUAUUAGAGGAGAGGGACCCAAGGGGGGGCCAGGAAUGCCUGAAAUGUUGACUCCAACAAGCGCAAUAAUGGGAGCAGGUCUUGGGAAGGUAUAGAUCAUCAAUUGUAAGACACAUUCCUAAUGAAUAACUUUUUCUUGUGAUCAUAUGGAAGUGGUUGCUUAGUUGCUUGACUUUUUUUCUCCUUGAACAAUUUUAUUGGUAAGAGUUUUGAUGUUGGUACUUGGUAUGUUCUCUUAGACAUAUUUUAUGAACCUGCUUAACACUGAGUACCUUUGUUUCAUUUGAUGUAAUGUUACUUAUGGAAUUUUAUUCCUUAUGUGGCAGGAUGUUGCUUUGUUGACUGAUGGUAGGUUUUCAGGAGGUUCACAUGGAUAUGUUGUUGGCCACAUAUGUCCUGAAGCACAUGUACAUUUUCUUUUCCUUCAUCCAGUUUUAUUUUUUUAUUUUUUUGAUCAGAAACGAAGAAGAUUAUAUUAAUAAAAGAACAAAUACAGAAGAGAAAAAAGAGACAAAAGAAAGAGAAAAAAAAAACCAAGGGAAGGAUGAGAGGUCCUUCCUACACAAUAACCAAGGAGAACACCCAACAAUAGUAAUCUAAAAACAAGAGAAAACCCAACAAACUUCAAACUCUUUAAACGCAAACCCCAAUCCAAUUGAUUUGUAGGAUGCUUAGAGGAACUCCUCUAAAAGCUUCAGUACAAGAAGCCCAUAGAGAAGAGUAAAACCAAAUCAAAUCCCACACCACCUCUUCCGUUCUCCCUUUAUCCUCAAAGAUUCUAUUAUUCCUUUCUUGCCACACCAUCCAAAUCAAAGUAAGGCAAGCAAUUUGCCAAAGAAUCUUGCCUCUUACUGAGUUCCCCAAGCCUCUAAAGGAAAUAACCAACAUAUCCUCAAUGCUCCUUGGAGGGACCCAAAUCACACCUACUAGAUUGAACAACCUGUGCCAAAGUCCAAUGGUGACGGGACAAUGAAGAAAAAGAUGAUCAAUCGACUCUCCAUUUCUUUUGCAAAGAAUGCACCAUUGAAGACAGAGGGCUUUGUAGGGUCUUCUCAAUUGCAACUUGUCAUUAGUGUUUACCUUCCCAUGUGCUACUAACCAAGCGAGGGCCUUAACCUUUGAAGGGACUUUUGAGCUCCAUAAAAACUUGGCCGGAAGGAACAUUAAAGGAUUUGAAUCUUUUCAAUUCAUCCAGUUUUAUUUUCACUCUUUGAUUGCAAUUCUUUAUUGUUACAAGAGUAAAACUUUUGUUCACUUUGGCUGUGACAUACACUAACUUGGGAUUCUUUACCAAUAAAACAAUUUAGGUAUAUAAUACCUCAUAAGAAAUGGUCCAAAUUACUCUUGACACCAUCUAUCAGACUUGCAUAUUGAGAAUAUUAUAACAGUGUAGAUACAACAAUAUUGGUUCUUAAAUAUACCACUUGAUAGUUAGGGGAAGAGGUGUGGUGGUGGAGGUCUCUCACAUGUUAUUUGUUGAUGACACUCUUAUUGUUUGUAAUUCUCGGAAGGAGCACAUAUAGUAUAUGAGUUGGACGUACAUGUUUCUUGAGGCAAUAUCAAGAUUAAAGAUCAAUCUGGAGAAGAGUGAGUCGAUUUUUGUUGGGGGCCUCUCUAAUAUGGAGGAGUUGAUUGGAGUUUGGGGUUUUAGAGUGGGCAAUCUCCCUAGCACUUGAUUGGGCCUUUCGUUGGGAACCCCUUUUGGGUCUUCUCGGGUUUGGGACAAGGUGGAGGAAAGAUUUGAAAAGGCUUGCUAUGUGGAAAGGAUAAUUCUUAUCAAAAGGAGAAAGACUAACUUUGAUUAAAGGUAUUUUGUCUAGCUUGUCAAUUUACUUCAUGUCUUUAUUUGUCAUCUUGAAAAGGGUGAGCAUUAGACUGGAAAAGAUCUAUAGCAAUUUUCUUUGAGAGGAGGGGCCUUGUAUAGAGGAUCGUAUUUGAUGAAUUGGUCUAUAGUUAGUAUGGAUAAGAGGAGUGGGAGUCUAGAUAUAAGAAACUUGUUCACUCUUAAUAGCGCUCUCCUUGGAAAAUGGUUAUGGAGAUUUGUGAUUGAAUGGUAUCCUCUUUGGAAACAGGUGAUUGUUAGGAAAUAAGAGGAGAAAAGAGGGGUGAUGAUGCUCUAGAGGAUUGAGUGAAGGUUAAGGAGUGGGAGUGUAGAAAGAAAUUGGGAGGGGCUAGGAAGCCUUCAGGUGUAGAACCAGUGUCAAGGUGGGAAGUGGAUGUAUGGUGAAAUUUUGGAAGGAUAGGUGGUGUGGAGACACUUCAUUGAGGGAGUCUUUUCUAGAGCUCUCACAAUAGUCUUUGCUAAAGAUAUAUAGAUAGUUAAGGUGCAGGAUGGGUAGUUGGAACCCUAUGUUUAUAAGAUAGUUUCAUAAUUGGGAUUUAGAGGGAUGAAAGUCUUCUUUAGGAGGUUGUAUGAGCAGACCAUUAGGAAGGACAUGGAAGACAAUUUGGCUUGGCUGAACACGAAGAGCGACAAUUUCUCAGUUAAGUCAUUCUACCACUAAUUGUAUAGAAGGGUGGAGACAUUUCCUUUUGGCAUAGUUUGAAAUUCUUAAUUACCAUUGAAGGUUUAUUUUUUGCAUGUGAAGCAAUGUGGGGCAUGAUACUCUCUUUGGGUUAGUUCAAAAAUAAGGUUCCUGAACGGAUGCUUCUUGUGCAAAGAAGAAGAAACAGUUGACCACACUGCUCGAAAGCAGUUACUUUGUGAUAGCUGAUUUAUGCCCUUCCUGGAGUUAAGUAGGUGACAUAUUCUUCAUUGAGAGGUGCUUUUUUGAGUUGGCAUGGGUCCUUGAAAAAGGAAGGAAAAAGAUCGGAAAGUUGCUCCUUUGUACUUACCUUAAACUGUUUGGAAGAAGAGAAAUAGGAGAGCUUUUGGGAAUAUUAAAAAAGUUGACAAAGCAAUUAAACAAUCCUUCAUAUAUGUACACAUAUUUGUUGGAAAGGGGUAGAGUUUUUAUAGGAUAUUGUUCCUUAUUGAUGAUGGACUUUAUGGAGUGAUUUUGGGCUCCAAGUAAGGCGUCCUUGUAUGUAUGAUAUAUACUUUUGUGUCUUUUUUAGGUGCCGUCAAUACAAUUGAUAUUUUAUCUAUCAAAAUAAAAAUAAAAAAUAAAAUGGGUUUUGGGGGUGCCUUCCCUCUUAUUAAAAAAAGAGUCAAAUGUCUCUGAGGGAGAGAAGUUGCAGAGGAAGAAACUGAAGCUUGUAGUUUUGUUACUUUGCCCACAACAAAACCUGUUCUUCACAACUAGGAUUAUAAUUUAUGCAUAGGCGUCUGUAUGGAUGGAAGUACAAUAAUUUAUCAGGGCAAGGUA